rnacentral:lncRNA from 1 species
UGGCACUGCCGGCAGCCAUGUUGCCCCGCUCUGGCUUUGUGAGAGGCAAGUCCCAGAGAGCCCUGGGGACAGCCUGUGCUCCUAGCCCGCCUACCUGCCCACCCCAGGCUACAGCCCGGUGAACGGAACUGUGAUGCAUGAAAUGAGGGGGGAAAGACCGGUGAGGUCAUGCUGGCCUUGUUAACUGUUGGCAAAAAAGCAGGCAACAGAAAGGGGAAUGUCAGGCACCCCCUACUCUGUCUUUAUUGAGCCGACUUUUCAUGGACAGGCAGUGGUGUUCUAAUUUAAAC